rnacentral:rRNA from 1 species
UGAGGAAUAUUGGUCAAUGGUCGGGAGACUGAACCAGCCAAGCCGCGUGAGGGAUGAAGGUACAGAGUAUCGUAAACCUCUUUUGUCAGGGAACAAAAGGCGCCACGUGUGGCGCUCCGAGUGUACCUGAAGAAGAAGCAUCGGCUAACUCCGUGCCAGCAGCCGCGGUAAUACGGUGGAUGCGAGCGUUAUCCGGAUUUAUUGGGUUUAAAGGGUGCGUAGGCGGCGAGUUAAGUCAGCGGUAAAAGCCCGGGGCUCAACCCCGGCCCGCCGUUGAAACUGGCUUGCUUGAGUUGGAGAGAAGUAGGCGGAAUGCGCGGUGUAGCGGUGAAAUGCUUAGAUAUCGCGCAGAACUCCGAUUGCGAAGGCAGCCUACCGGCUCCACACUGACGCUGAGGCACGAAAGCGUGGGUAUCGAACAGGAUUAGAUACC